AGGGAUUUAGGUUACGCUAGACCAAGAGCCUUCAAAGCUCUAAGCAAGUACAAGUACUUAAUCCCUG
rnacentral:tRNA from 1 species